UAUGAUUUACCAGUAUUAAUAAUGUGAAAGAUCAUGGGCAAGUACAAGUGCAAAUUCUUCGGUAGGGUAUAAUUUUACUCGAAUAUACAGAAUAUACUCUUCUUAGCAAGAGUUUUUGUUCAGGUUAACAGGCUUCAGAGAAUUCAUCAGCCCUCCUUGUCAGCUUCAGCACAGAAAUGUAUCAUAAAGAAAAAUAAGCUAAGGCAUAAUUCUCAUAAUACCGCAAUUGCUUGUAGUGGUACUAAAGACUUCGCUGGUAACGCGGAUUAGGAAAAGACACCCCAUCACUAUCUCUGAAUAAUGGUUUAUGUACGUUAAAAUCUGUACUUCCAUGGUUUGUUUGACCCCUAGGUGCAACUUGGUGCAUAGAUGAAUCACCUGGAUUGUUGCAAAGCCCAAGUUUCACAAUGAAUGUAGCAUUGGUACCUUUGUCAAGCCCCUCGCUCUCAAUCCAUAUAUGGCCUCCCAU
rnacentral:misc_RNA from 1 species